rnacentral:rRNA from 1 species
CGUAACAAGGUCUCCGUUGGUGAACCAGCGGAGGGAUCAUUACUGAGUUUACGCUCUACAACCCUUUGUGAACAUACCUACAACUGUUGCUUCGGCGGGUAGGGUCUCCGCGACCCUCCCGGCCUCCCGCCUCCGGGCGGGUCGGCGCCCGCCGGAGGAUAACCAAACUCUGAUUUAACGACGUUUCUUCUGAGUGGUACAAGCAAAUAAUCAAAACUUUUAACAACGGAUCUCUUGGUUCUGGCAUCGAUGAAGAACGCAGCGAAAUGCGAUAAGUAAUGUGAAUUGCAGAAUUCAGUGAAUCAUCGAAUCUUUGAACGCACAUUGCGCCCGCCAGCAUUCUGGCGGGCAUGCCUGUUCGAGCGUCAUUUCAACCCUCAAGCUCUGCUUGGUGUUGGGGCCCUACAGCCGAUGUAGGCCCUCAAAGGUAGUGGCGGACCCUCCCGGAGCCUCCUUUGCGUAGUAACUUUACGUCUCGCACUGGGAUCCGGAGGGACUCUUGCCGUAAAACCCCCCAAUUUUCCAAAGGUUGACCUCGGAUCAGGUAGGAAUACCCGCUGAACUUAAGCAUAUCAAUA